rnacentral:rRNA from 1 species
UACGUAGGGACCGAGCGUUAUCCGGAUUCAUUGGCGUAAAGAGCUCGUAGGCGGCUAUUCAAGUCGAACGUGAAAUCUCGGGCUCAACUCCGAGCCUGCGUUCGAUACUGGGUAGCUAGAGUCUGGUAGGGGAUCUGGAAUUCCUGGUGUAGCGGUGGAAUGCGCAGAUAUCAGGAGGAACACCGGUGGCGAAGGCGGCAUCCUGGACCAAUACUGACACUGAGGAGCGAAAGCCAGGG